UUCGCCCUUGUGCCAGCAGCCGCGAGUAAUACGGAGGAUGCAAGCGUUAUCCGGAAUCAUUGGGCGUAAAGCGUCCGUAGGUGGUGUUUCAAGUCUGCUGUUAAAGCCCGGGGCUCAACCCUGGAGGAGCAGUGGAAACUGGAGUACUGGAGUGCGGUAGGGGUAGAGGGAAUUCCCGGUGUAGCGGUGAAAUGCGUAGAUAUCGGGAAGAACACCAGUGGCGAAACGCUCUACUGGACCGUAACUGACACUGAUGGACGAAAGCUAGGGGAGCGAAUGGGAUUAGAUACCCCAGUAGUCCUAGCCGUAAACGAUGGACACUAGGUGUUGCACGUAUCGACCCGUGCAGUGCCGUAGCCAACGCGUUAAGUGUCCCGCCUGGGGAGUACGCUCGCAAGAGUGAAACUCAAAAGGAAUUGACGGGGGGCCCCCACAAGCGGUNGGAGUAUGUUGGUUUAAUUCGAUGCAACGCGAAGAACCUUACCAGGACUUGACAUUUCGCGAAUCUUUGGGGAAACCCAAAAGUGC
rnacentral:rRNA from 1 species